AUUGGAGGGCAAGUCUGGUGCCAGCAGCCGCGGUAAUUCCAGCUCCAAUAGCGUAUAUUAAAAUUGUUGCGGUUAAAACGUUCGUAGUUGAACUUGUGCUUCAUACGGGUGGUACGCCUAAAAUUUGGGUUAGUACAUUACCUUAUUGUAUGUAAGCGUAUUACUGGUGGAGUUUAUAUAUUAUUUAUUUUAAAAUAUUUAAUAUAUUACUCCUAUUAAACCUGAUUCAAUGCUCUUCACCGAGUGUUGUUUUGGGCCAGUACAAUUACUUUGAACAAAUUAGAGUGCUUAAAGCAGGCUCUUAAUGCCUGAAUAUUCUGUGCAUGGAAUAAUGGAAUAAGACCUCUGUUCUAAUUUCAUUGGUUUUUAGAUCAAGAGGUAAUGAUUAAUAGAAGCAGUUGGGGGCAUUAGUAUUACGACGCGAGAGGUGAAAUUCUUGGACCGUCGUAAGACUAACUUAAGCGAAAGCAUUUGCCAAAGAUGUUUUCAUUAAUCAAGAACGAAAGUUAGAGGUUCGAAGGCGAUCAGAUACCGCCCUAGUUCUAACCAUAAACGAUGCCAACCAGCAAUUGGGUGUAGCUACUACUAUGGCUCUCUCAGUCGCUUCCCGGGAAACCAAAGUUUUUGGGCUCCGGGGGAAGUAUGGUUGCAAAGCUGAAACUUAAAGGAAUUGACGGAAGGGCA
rnacentral:rRNA from 1 species